CAGCCGCCACGGGAAUACGAAGGGUGCAAGCGUUAAUCGGAAUUACUGGGCGUAAAGCGUGCGUAGGCGGUUUGUUAAGUCUGCUGUGAAAUCCCCGGGCUCAACCUGGGAAUGGCAGUGGAUACUGGCAAGCUAGAGUGUGUCAGAGGAUGGUGGAAUUCCCGGUGUAGCGGUGAAAUGCGUAGAGAUCGGGAGGAACAUCAGUGGCGAAGGCGGCCAUCUGGGACAACACUGACGCUGAGGCACGAAAGCGUGGGGAGCAAACAGGAUUAGAUACCCGCGUAGUCCCUGUCUCUUAUAC
rnacentral:rRNA from 1 species